rnacentral:rRNA from 3 species
CGUAACAGGGUUUCCGUAGGUGAACCUGCGGAGGGGUCAUU